rnacentral:rRNA from 1 species
CUGAAGUAACAAAUGCCCUGCUUCCAGGAAAAGCCUCUAAGCAUCAGGUAACAUCAAAUCGUACCCCAAACCGACACAGGUGGUCAGGUAGAGAAUACCAAGGCGCUUGAGAGAACUCGGGUGAAGGAACUAGGCAAAAUGGUGCCGUAACUUCGGGAGAAGGCACGCUGGUGUGUAGGUGAAGUCCCUGCGGAUGGAGCUGAGACCAGUCGAAGAUACCAGCUGGCUGCAACUGUUUAUUAAAAACACAGCACUGUGCAAACACGAAAGUGGACGUAUACGGUGUGACGCCUGCCCGGUGCCGGAAGGUUAAUUGAUGGGGUUAUCCGUAAGGAGAAGCUCUUGAUCGAAGCCCCGGUAAACGGCGGCCGUAACUAUAACGGUCCUAAGGUAGCGAAAUUCCUUGUCGGGUAAGUUCCGACCUGCACGAAUGGCGUAAUGAUGGCCAGGCUGUCUCCACCCGAGACUCAGUGAAAUUGAACUCGCUGUGAAGAUGCAGUGUACCCGCGGCAAGACGGAAAGACCCCGUGAACCUUUACUAUAGCUUGACACUGAACAUUGAGCCUUGAUGUGUAGGAUAGGUGGGAGGCUUUGAAGCGUGGACGCCAGUCUGCGUGGAGCCAACCUUGAAAUACCACCCUUUAAUGUUUGAUGUUCUAACGUGGGCCCCUAAUCGGGGUUGCGGACAGUGUCUGGUGGGUAGUUUGACUGGGGCGGUCUCCUCCCAAAGCGUAACGGAGGAGCACGAAGGUUAGCUAAUCCUGGUCGGACAUCAGGAGGUUAGUGCAAUGGCAUAAGCUAGCUUGACUGCGAGCGUGACGGCGCGAGCAGGUGCGAAAGCAGGUCAUAGUGAUCCGGUGGUUCUGAAUGGAAGGGCCAUCGCUCAACGGAUAAAAGGUACUCCGGGGAUAACAGGCUGAUACCGCCCAAGAGUUCAUAUCGACGGCGGUGUUUGGCACCUCGAUGUCGGCUCAUCACAUCCUGGGGCUGAAGUAGGUCCCAAGGGUAUGGCUGUUCGCCAUUUAAAGUGGUACGCGAGCUGGGUUUAGAACGUCGUGAGACAGUUCGGUCCCUAUCUGCCGUGGGCGCUGGAGAAUUGAGGGGGGCUGCUCCUAGUACGAGAGGACCGGAGUGGACGCAUCACUGGUGUUCGGGUUGUCAUGCCAAUGGCACUGCCCGGUAGCUAAAUGCGGAAGAGAUAAGUGCUGAAAGCAUCUAAGCACGAAACUUGCCCCGAGAUGAGUUCUCCCUGAGACUUUAAGUCUCCUGAAGGAACGUUGAAGACGACGACGUUGAUAGGCCGGGUGUGUAAGCGCAGCGAUGCGUUGAGCUAACCGGUACUAAUGAACCGUGAGGCUUAACC